rnacentral:sRNA from 1 species
AUAACAUAUAAAUUUUGUACAACCAAGUAUCCAAACAUUUUAACAAUGGGCCCUUGAGCAUAGACGCUCAAAUCCAAUCGAGAACCAAAACCAUUAAGUUUUGCAAAAAGCAACAAAACUCUAUAUCGGCUUUCUUACGUCCUGAGCAUCCCUCUAAUGGUUCACACUAAGUUUUCCUGCAAAACAAAAUGGAACCAUAAGUAAUCUAAGAUUACUUAGUAAGCUCGGUCUACCUGCAACCGAUAUUAGUUCCCCAUCCCACGCAAAACAGAAUAGCAACAAAAGGUAGCUUGCCCAAGCAUCUACCAAAUGCACAUGCAAUUAAGACUCCACUUUUAUUAAGUAUUUAUUUUUAAAAAGGGCCCGGUAUGCUGCCUUCACCCCACACCAAACACACACUCCCUGGAUCUCUCGCUUUACAACCACAAAGGCAUGUAACCAGAGCAUCUCUACCAAAUGCUACACCGUCGUGUAGACAACUCGGCCAAGGUAGCUAGAUCCGUCUCUCUCAGCCCUUCGCACUAACUGGCGAUCAAGCAACAAUUUAACAAGACCCCACAAUAGCACGGUUCACUACGUAGGUCAGACAUACCACGAUCUUGAUACGCUUAUAGUCUCUGCCUCCUACCACGAGCACCACGCAUCAAAACCCAACAUUUUAAGAUAUUAUGAAACAUAUGGUUAAUCAAACACAUAGAAUCAUCAAAAUCUCAACACAACCUCACAACCAUAAACUUUACCUUAAAAAUCUAAAAGAUCAAUUAUGCGACUUAGUACCAUCAUUCACACCAUUAAUCAAUACUCAUAUAAUUCAUGAAAUCAUGUAAUGAAUGCAAGAGUACAUGAUCAUGCAACCAAACAAGCAAUCAAUCACCCAAAUAAACACCCAAACCUAUCAUGUGCCAUAUCACACGCUUCGAUACUCAUAGAGAUUCGGUUGAAGGUUUAAGGUUAGCUUCAACGAUUCUCGGUUGCAGAGAGGGAUUUCUCAUCGACAAACAGGUUCUCUUGAUCACGGACAUGAAUUCUUUAGUUAGGGGCAAAGGAUCUUGAUUACGGGAAGAGUUUCUCAAUUGCGGACAAGUUUUCUCUCGGUUACGUGCGAUCCCUUGAUAAUUUGGCUGCCUUUCGGUUCUCUCUCCUUUCUCCCUCCGAAAAUUCUCAAGGCCGAAUGAAGCUUAUAUAGGGGUGGCAGGGGUGAAUCAGCUAGUACACGUGCCGUUUGCACGUGAAGUCACUCAUGUGGCAGCGUCGGGACGAUGACACGCGGAUAGCAAGACUUCGGCUCCAAGGGACUUAACUUCGGCUCCAAUCCUUUAAAAUUCGUCUCCAAGCAACUUUGCUUGGGCUCCAAGUUAGCCAGUGCACUCGUCUAUGGCACGGUCAAACGGCGGUUAACACCUGACGGGGCACACUUUGCCCACAGCACGCCUGAGGCCCAAUCUUGCCCAUUCUUGCCCAUCUUUGCCCAUUCUUGCGUAAAUAGUUAUUUCAUUUGCCCUUUGAUGGUUUAUCACCUUUUGGGCACAUAUGGGCAAUCAGCCAUGUAUUCGUGGCAACUUCCUCCCGUUUUGGCUUCGCCCCGGAUGACCCCAUUUCGAACUAGACUCGGCAGGUUCAUUUUGCCUUGCCCAUCUCUUUGGAUUUCAUCCCUUAACUAUUUCUUUCUCUUCCAGUUCUUCCUCGAUCUUUCCUUGAUGUUUCGUGCUUGGCCACUUACCCCUUAGCGAGGGUCACUACAUUGCCCGUAUCAUGGUUUUAGUGAGGUACAAAUUCUAGGUACCUUCUUUAGAGGAGUUGAUCAAAGAUACCAGAUGGCUCUUGAUUCAGAGAGGAAUGUUAACUUCAAUACCAGGUAUCCGGCAGAUGCUACAUCUUUGAGCCUGAGCCUGAGUCAGAAGAAGGUGUCUUCUACAUUGAUGGUCAAGGUUACAAGAACUUUGGACAGCCAGAAGGCAACUUUAGUGGCAACAGGUUUACUGGGAACAAGAGUUCUUCAGGUUUCAGCCCCAAACCUACCUUCCAGAAGACCUAUCCUCAGAGCAACUUCACAAGGUCUUAUGGUAAUUCUUCUUACCAAACCCCUCCUCCACCGUCUGCCCAUAGUAAGAUGGAAUCCAUGCUUGAGUAGAUUCUUGAGGGUCAGGCCAAGUUAGUUGUGGACUUCAAUAGAAAGUUUGACGCUAUCUACACAGAUCUUCAUGGGAAGAUCGACAAUUUGAGCUCUCACAUGAAGAAGCUAGAUGUUCAAUUGGCUUAAACUGAUUAGUCUAUCAAGAGACAAGAGGGUUUUCUUUCUGGCACCCCUAAUACUAAUCCAACGAAGAGCUGCAAUGUUAUCUUAGUCAGAGAUGGAGACAAUGUAUAGGAGGAAUUGGAUACAGAGGACGAGUUGGAGCUCACAGCUCUAGAGCUGGUGUCGAUCGACACCAUAUGGUAAACUCUUUUCCAAAACUACUUCUGAAUAGAGUGUCGAUGGACACACUCCUAACGUCGAUCGACAAUGGGUACGCAUUGCACCUUACGAGGGUCAUAUCCCUAUGCAACCCAACCUUGUUUACACUCUUACGGUUCCAUAUCCGAGAAACCGUCGUUCUAAGCAGGAAGUACACGAUACGAAGUGCAAGGCAAUAAAGGAGAAGAACUUGACCACCAUUCCUAAGGAUACCUCAGAGAACUCAUUUGCUCAACUUAUUAGAUAUGUCAAGCAUUUGGUCAACAUUGGAAUCAACUCCAAGGAAGCCAACCUGCUUAAAGAGAUAUCAGUUCCAUACUGUUGAAGAAGGUCAAGAAAGACUAGUCGAAGAGAUUAGUGCUUUCUGAACAUGUUAGCUCCAUUGCCAAAGGGUAAAUGAUAACACUGUAUUUUACUCAUUUUAGGUGUAUGUUUAUCAUCAUUUACUUUUGCAUUUGCUCAUUGUAUCAUAUCAUUUUGCACCAUUUUAGCUUGUUUUGCAUACUUAGGCAUCUAGGAUCAUCUUGCAUAUGCAUUGCAUGUUUUGGUAUGUUUUCAGGUGCAGAAGGAGAUAAAAAGGACUCUACUCGAUCCAUCCACUCGAUCCAGGCAGCUACAGAAGAGGCAUCAUUCUACUCGACCUCUUUACUCAAUCCAGGAUGCUACAAAGGAGGCUGCAGUUAACUCGACCCUCUUACUCGAUCAAGGCAACCUCAGAUGAAGAAGCAGAUUGAUCUACUCGCCCCUCCUACUCGAUCCAUUUACUCGACCAAGGGUGACCAUCUCUACAAGACUUGUUGAGCUAUCAAAGCGUCUUCGGAUCCUCCUCAUUCCCCACUCAACCAGACAUCUGAGCAUACAUAUAGGAGAGGAGAAGCAUCUACUCGACCAAUUGAUCACUCGGAGCAUAGACACAAAGGCGCAGACUUUGCAGCACCCUCUUUACUUUAUCCCCAAGAUCGAGUAUUCGCCCAAACCGCCUCAAGUCUCUUGUCUUCUAGUGAAUCUAGGGUUUCAACAUUUUACUAUAAAUAGAUCACUUUGGGGGUUGUCCAAAGGAUCUAUGCUUUAUCUUUCAGUUUUUCUUUGUGUUUAUGAAUCUUAAAACCUUAAUUACUCUUAAUCUGUUUCGUUUUUGCAUUUAGUUGUUUUAGUAAAGUUGUUUAGCUUGUUUAGAUCUAUAUUUUGGUAUAAUUU